ensembl:lncRNA
GACUUGGGAAGGAGGAGGCACAGGAGAAGGCUAUGAUCAGAGGGCAGGAGAUGGCAGUACCAGUAAGAAGGCGGCUAUAGUAACCCAGGUUUCUCAAGAGGCAGGUCAGGUGGUCUGGUAUGCCCAUCUCUUUCAGAAAUUUCCACAGAGCCUGGAAGCCAGUUAAUGAGCUCAUGUGCCACAACUACUGAAGCCUGCUUGCAACAAGCUUCAAGCAACAAAACCCAUGCUCUGCAACAAGCUAAGUCGCUUCAGUCGUGUCC